rnacentral:rRNA from 1 species
UACGAAGGGGGCUAGCGUUGCUCGGAUUGACUGGGCGUAAAGGGCGCGUAGGCGGUUCGUACAGUCAGACGUGAAAUUCCUGGGCUCAACCUGGGGGCUGCGUUUGAUACGUGCGGACUUGAGUGCGGAAGAGGGUCGUGGAAUUCCCAGUGUAGAGGUGAAAUUCGUAGAUAUUGGGAAGAACACCGGUGGCGAAGGCGGCGACCUGGUCCGAUACUGACGCUGAGCGCGAAAGCGUGGGGAGCAAACAGG